rnacentral:sRNA from 1 species
AUAAUUAUUAAUUUAUAAUAUUGAUGGGACCAUAUAUUUAUAUAAGAUUUUCGAAAAAGUUAUUAUCUUAUUAAUUUAUCGAUUUGUAUCAAUUUUUACACUGGUCCCAACUCGGGACCGGAAGAAUUUAUUAAUUUAUAGAGGUUAUUAAUUUAUCGAGUAUUAAUUUAUGGAGGUUAUACUGUACUUAGAUAUAUAAGGGUUUUA